rnacentral:rRNA from 1 species
GUGGGGAAUAUUGGACAAUGGGCGAAAGCCUGAUCCAGCCAUGCCGCGUGUGUGAAGAAGGUCUUCGGAUUGUAAAGCACUUUAAGUUGGGAGGAAGGGCAUUAACCUAAUACGUUAGUGUUUUGACGUUACCGACAGAAUAAGCACCGGCUAACUCUGUGCCAGCAGCCGCGGUAAUACAGAGGGUGCAAGCGUUAAUCGGAAUUACUGGGCGUAAAGCGCGCGUAGGUGGUUCGUUAAGUUGGAUGUGAAAUCCCCGGGCUCAACCUGGGAACUGCAUCCAAAACUGGCGAGCUAGAGUAGGGCAGAGGGUGGUGGAAUUUCCUGUGUAGCGGUGAAAUGCGUAGAUAUAGGAAGGAACACCAGUGGCGAAGGCGACCACCUGGGCUCAUACUGACACUGAGGUGCGAAAGCGUGGGGAGCAAACAGGAUUAGAAACCCGGGUAGUCC